rnacentral:rRNA from 1 species
AAUAGAUACCCGGGUAGUCCACGCUGUAAACGGUGGGUACUAGGUGUGGGGUCCAUUCCACGGGUUCCGUGCCGUAGCUAACGCUUUAAGUACCCCGCCUGGGGAGUACGGCCGCAAGGCUAAAAACUCAAAGGAAUUGACGGGGCCCCGCACAAGCGGCGGAGCAUGCGGAUUAAUUCGAUGCAACGCGUAGAACCUUACCUGGGUUUGACAUGGAUCGGGAGCGCUCAGAGAUGGGUGUGCCUCUUUUGGGGUCGGUUCACAGGUGGUGCAUGGCUGUCGUCAGCUCGUGUCGUGAGAUGUUGGGUUAAGUCCCGCAACGAGCGCAACCCUUGUUCACUGUUGCCAGCACGUUAUGGUGGGGACUCAGUGGAGACCGCCGGGGUCAACUCGGAGGAAGGUGGGGAUGACGUCAAGUCAUCAUGCCCCUUAUGUCCAGGGCUUCACGCAUGCUACAAUGGCUGGUACAGAGAGUGGCGAGCCUGUGAGGGUGAGCGAAUCUCGGAAAGCCGGUCUCAGUUCGGAUUGGGGUCUGC